UUCCUUUAGGAAAACUCGUGUCGACUAGUGUUAUUUUUUUAGUUAAGCUGUAUCAUAAAUUACAAUGACCAACACCUAUUGAUAGUUUCGAAAGUUUUAACUUCUUCGGUCGUUGCAUCGUUGGCUCGGAAGUGCUGUCAUCCAAUUUCUAUGUCGACGAUUUGAUGACUGGAGGAGGAUCUGUAGAGGAAGUGCGCGAGAAAAUGAGGCAGACAUCCCAGUUAUUGGCUCGGGGAAGUUCCCAACGCUCCUGACGUACUUGAGAGAAUUCCCGACAAGGAUAUGGAAACACAAAGGCCCUUGGAUUGGUUUGGGAGCCUGCAUCCGAUAAUUUUCUCUUUUCGGACUGAUUGGGCUUGUCAUCGCAAAGGCAAAGAUUUUUCUUCAGCUGGUGUGGAAGGAGCAGCUAUAAUGGUUUGUCUACCCCUCAGCGGUUUGGAUUUCCUCGUCUGAGAGCUUUCCCCAAUUCAACAGUGGUAGUUCACGGGUUUUGUGACUCCAGCCUAGACGCAUAUGGCAUAUGUAUUUACGUCGUUUCAAGGACAAAUAACGUGCACUUCUGUGUGCGAAGUCGCGUGUCGCCCCUCUUAAGAUAUUUACGGUGCCCAAGGUGGAGCUAUGCGGCGCUGACUUGCUUUCUCAAUUUAUCAGUGAGAUAAAGCAACUUAAAUUGUUCACUGGAAGCUUCUAUUAUCGGGUCUCAGCCAUCAGAACUUCUGGAAUCGUAUAUUUGCGCCCACGGGCCCCUUUCUGCAAGAUGAGCAACCCCUGUGGCAGGGCCAUAUAUUCAAUCCAUGCCGACACCGCACACCGGUAAAGCUAGAAAGUUGAAACUUCGCAUAUGGGCUGUUCAUGUAUUAGUGAGUUUCGAAUUCAUUUUCUGACCGAUGCGAACACGCCUUCACCGCGUCCAACCAUACAAAUUUGGACUAAAUCAAAGUUUUUAAUUUUUUAAACUAAAAUUAGUUAUAAUUAU